rfam:Brassica rapa chromosome A2, whole genome shotgun sequence.
GGCUAGGAUGAUUAUUGCUUAAUUAUUUCUGACACCUCUUGUAUGAGAAGAGCCUGAUAAACUCUUCUUUGAGCACAUUACGCAAAACUCUGAGCC